GCGUUUACAACUCUCAUCGCUGUUCUGAUUGAACGGUAUCCAAGUUUGAAAAAGAGGAUCCUUCUUUUUGCAGGAGGUCCUACAAAUUUGAGUCCAACAUCCGUGGCCAUCUGUGCACGAAAAUUGAAAGACUUGUCUAUAGCUCUUGAUGUUGUCAACUUCUAUCCUAAAGAAAGUUUGUACAUAUAUUCACCACAUGGUUACCAUUUUGGGAGGAGCGCGCUUGAGGAUCUUGUUGCUGCUACCAAUCUUGAUGACAACAGCCACUUCAUACAAGUUGAACCUGAAUCUUCUAUUAAAGAUUUUCUAUACAUGUUCAUAUUAAGAAAGACCACUCUUAAGAAUAUAGAGAAAGAGGAUUAAUGUCAUAAAGCCUUGUCGCAACCAUCUUGCAAGGCCGCUCCAAAUGAUGGAAUUGAAUAAUGUUGAUGAUGAAUACUAAUUGUUGAAUCUGCCAACAUCAACCAGAGAUCCAUGAAUGUGCAAGAGAUUCCGAGAUAGCCAUGAGACUAAUGGGAGGAGCGUAUCAACAACCGUACCCCACCAUCUUGUAACCAGAACAGCUGCAAGGGUGGCUUCCGCAUGCUUGAUGACAGUUUCCAGCAUCCAGAGAGCACCGAAUGUUUGAAAUCUGUGAACCAGAUAACCGAGAAAUACUUCCGAUCUGUAUUCAUGUAAACUUAUAUUACUGGAAUUUAGGAGUGAACAAUAAGCGAGUUUUAUGUGUGAUUUGUUUUUUUUUUUUUCAUAUCAAAUAGAA